rnacentral:rRNA from 1 species
AUUGAACGCUGGCGGAAUGCUUUACACAUGCAAGUCGAACGGCAGCACGGGGGCAACCCUGGUGGCGAGUGGCGAACGGGUGAGUAAUACAUCGGAACGUGCCCAGUCGUGGGGGAUAACUACGCGAAAGCGUAGCUAAUACCGCAUACGAACUCUGGUUGAAAGCGGGGGAUCGCAAGACCUCGCGCGAUUGGAGCGGCCGAUGGCAGAUUAGGUAGUUGGUGGGGUAAAGGCUCACCAAGCCGACGAUCUGUAGCUGGUCUGAGAGGACGACCAGCCACACUGGGACUGAGACACGGCCCAGACUCCUACGGGAGGCAGCAGUGGGGAAUUUUGGACAAUGGGCGCAAGCCUGAUCCAGCCAUUCCGCGUGCAGGAUGAAGGCCCUCGGGUUGUAAACUGCUUUUGUACGGAACGAAACGGCCUUUUCUAAUACAAGAGGCUAAUGACGGUACCGUAAGAAUAAGCACCGGCUAACUACGUGCCAGCCGCCGCCGUAAUAC